rnacentral:rRNA from 1 species
GUAGGGAAUAUUCCGCAAUGGGCGAAAGCCUGACGGAGCAACGCCGCGUGAGUGAAGAAGGUCUUCGGAUCGUAAAGCUCUGUCAACAGGGACGAAACAAGACGGUACCUGAGAAGGAAGCCACGGCAAACUACGUGCCAGCAGCCGCGGUAAUACGUAGGUGGCAAGCGUUGUCCGGAAUAACUGGGCGUAAAGCGCAUGUAGACGGCAUGAUAAGCCAAAUGUGAAAUGUAGGGGCUCAACCCCUACACUGCGAUUGGAACUGUCAAGCUGCAGUGCAGGAGAGGCAAAUGAAAUUCCCAGUGUAGCAGUGAAAUGCGUAGGGAUUGGGAGGAACACCAGUGGCGAAGGCGAUUUGCUGGACUGCAACUGACGUUGAGAUGCGAAAGCCAGGGGAGCAAACGGGAUUAGAUACCCUGGUAGUCC